CUUUUUUGCCCCCCCACACGCCGCGCUCCGCUUCCCCCCCUGCCUGCCGGAUCCUGGGGGAGGCGCCGAGGCGCGGGGCGGGGAGCGGCCCUAGAGCCGGAGCCGCCCGGGCAGGGGCGCGCAGCCAGGAGGGAGGGAAAGCGCAGGAUGGCGAUACUUUUUUACCUGUGUUGCCUGCGGAAAAACUGUAAUGAAUGCAGUUGACAACUAAGCACGAGUUCUGUGAGAGCGUGUGAGCUGAGAGAAAGGUCAAGCUGGAUCCAGGUUAAGGUAUGAACGAAGGUGGCCCCUGGGCUGAGGCUUCACAAAGGAGGGUUUGAUCUGGAGUUUGUUUUCGUGGCACAGGUGUCAUUGAUUAGAAAUACUGCCUACUGACACAGUGUUUGGAAUCCUGUCUUGUCGGAGUCCUUAAUGGAGUGGAGCAGCAAAAGCGGUCUGAGCACUGCUUACGAUGGUGGGAAACUGCUCUGUAGGAUCCCUGGUCAGUCUCCUAUUGGAAGAUCAAAAUAUUCUCCAUUCUUAUCUCUGUGUUCUGGGUUUUAAAGCUCAAGUACAAAGAAGUUAAUAUUCAGAGGCAGGACGGUGGAAGUGCUGAUGUGCACGGCCCGGAGACGGCGCAUCGCAUCUCCCAGCCCUGACCUUGGGGACCACCCUGCGCCUCCCACCCCCUCGCUUGGCUCUGCCUGCUCUCACCCGGCACCGCGAGCCUUCCAUCCCUACAGCUCCUCUGGCUUGCGUGGAUUUCAUCGCCAAAAACCUCUUUGACAGAUUGAAGAAUUCAGUCCUUAUGAUAGCUAUGCCUUUGAGUUCCCAGCUGACAGCAUUUAGUCCGUCAGCACCUUUGGUGGGACGGUGGCUGCCGUUUCAGCGGACGGAAGCCUUUCUGGUGAGCCUGCGGGCGAGAGGAGGCGAUGUCAAGUCUCAGCUGAUGGGCCUUCAGCUCCUGCACCGAUUGCUAUUCUGGGGAGGUUUGGAGGAAAUUUUAAAGACGACAGCUGAGUACAAAUCAAUAUUUUUCUUGACAGCCCUGGUCCUCUUCCUCUCUUUCCAAUUUACAUCUGUCCUCCGGAGAUGACAAAUGGCGGCGUAGUAACCAGAGCGGCUUUCCAUCUUCUGGUUUACAGUGUGGGUUUGGGGAUGGGGUGUUUUUGUAAUCCCACAGACAAAAUGGAUUAAUUGGCAUACUUUCUCCACUGUAAACCCUUCAAGAUCCCUUUGAUUUUCAAAUUCUCCCAUUGCUUGAAUAGGGACGUAGCUGUAAUUCCCCCCCCGCCCCCAUUCUCAGGUUAAUUUUUAGGCAUUAAGAUUGUUCAUCUAAAUUGUGAAAUUUUGAAAACUUCAUGCUAUUGAGAGCGCGGCGUCAAGCUCUCUAAAACCUCACUUGUUGGAGAUCUGAGCGUGUGAGGAAAGCUCUUUGUCAUCAAAGGUCAAAUUUAUUUUCUUUUGUGGUUUCAGCCUUAUUCCAAACAUGAUUUCUUGUGUGUAUGCUGUUUUGUAAAUAAAGCUUUGGCUGGAAAAGUUAUAGGAUCUUAUUUAUUACGUGCAUAUUGAGGUAUUGUGAAGCCUCUCGAAAGACAGGAGAAAGCCACAAGUUUAUUUACAUUCCUUCAGAAAAAAUCACGCAUCCUUUUUAGAAAUAGCGUUUGUGUGACGUUUUAAUCUGAUUUUAUAACGGUUAGUUUUGUUUGCAGCUCUGUUGCCUAGCUUUUGGGAUUAACCGUGAAGGCUUCAACUGAAAUUUUUACUGUUUUAUAUUGUCUCUCAGAAAAACAUGGAAUUAGGAAAUAAUUUGAAGUAUUUGAGGUUGAGCGGUUACUGCAACACGGCCUUAAUAGUAAGCUUCAAGGUUUGGUAUUGUCUUUGACCUGUUCCCCUUUGUGUGUCUUUUUAAUUUUGGAGCCUUACUGAAGUGCAAUUUUUAAACGAUCACGAUGGUAACGCAGGCGCUGUGACGACCCCGCCAGCGGAGCGGCUGUACGAACGCCUGCUAGGCCUGUUCUGCUGGGCACGUUAUUUCAUAGCUGAGGUGGAAACUCGCACGGCUCCUUUAUCGAGCAGCAGAAGAUCAGAUCUCACUUUUAUAUUACCUUUCAUGUAUUUUGUUUUUUUUUUUUUUUUUCCAAAGCUGCUCUUUCGUAUUGCUCAGGAGGGACCAGUAAGAUUUUCUGUACUCAUUUCUGUACUCGUGCAGUGUCAUACAGGCAAACUGCGGCUAGCUUUAUUUCUAACUCGCGCUGAAAUGGUUAGGAUGAAGCGAUUGCGUCAGGGGGAAGUCAGUCCCCCCCAAAAUACGCCUCUGAACUUUUGUGGACGCUUGAACGCUUUCAAAUGCCUGCCUGGGGGCUCGUGAGGGCGGUGUGGCACGGGGAAAGGAGAUGUGUCGUAUUAUCUCCAAGGUCAGUAAUUAGACUGCAUUGAGGCGCUAGGUAGGAUGCUUCAACAGAGUGUCUUCAUUAAGGUGCUACAUGGGAAAAUGAUUUAUUUUUUUCUUUGUUUUUAAAGGUUCUGAUCCCCUGAAGCAAAUUCCAGCUUUGGAAGGGAAUCUGUGUUACAGAAAAAAAUCUGUACAAAUUUCAGAGGGGAAAAAAAAAAAAAACCAAACCAAACAAACCUGGCUGUGAAAAAGAGACCACUCUCCUGUGCUCGUUCGCAAUAGGGCUGUGCAGCUUUCCUUUACCAGAACUGCUUAUGACACGGCAACUUCUAUUCAAAGCAGAAGAUUAUAAAGUACAGAGAACAGCAAAUUCAAGCCUAUGUAUCAAAUCGAGAUCACGUUGUUUGUGUUUGUGCUGAGCGACUGAUUACGUUUCUAAAAAAUUUUUCUUUCUUUUUAGCAUUGCAGCGUAAUUUCAGGAACGCGAAACAUGUAAAGAUGAUGGUGCCUCAUCCAUCCUCAUCUCCUGAGCUUUCAGCUGCAGACGCAGCGGGUGCUGUCGUCCACGCAUCUUGGACAACAAGGACAGAAGCCGCUGAAGAAGAGGAAACCGUGAAGAGCCUCAUGGACGUUCUGGAGCACGUAAUGCGACAUGUGCCCACGCAGGAUGCGCCAGCUCAGCAUUCAGCCAUCACACCCGCUCUCAAUGAUACCGUUGAUUCUCUUUGGUUAAAAGUAUGGAGGAAACACACUAAAAAGAAAAAAAAAACAACUAGAAAACGUCUCGAUGACAAGAAAACCUACUCCGUCUACAACACCAUCGGCUUUGACAGUCCAAACCGACCCAGAUAUUUCUGGUUUAUGUGUUUCUGAGUCUACCUGGCUGACAAGAGCACUGAAAGAGCUAGCCUCAAUAUUUCAAACUGCUGCUAAAAAAAAGAAAAAUAAGGCUCUUGAUCAGCUACUAAAUGGAUUUAGUGAAAUCUUGGAAGAGUGUCUUAAAAAAAGGUAUGCUAAAUAUCACAAUUACAUUUGAAAAACCCAAACCUACCGGUAAAAUGAUGAAAAAGGUUGCAUGAGUCUAAGAAGAUGGAACAUCAAGCUCUAGGGAAAGUCCUCUCGGGAGUGACUGAAACAUUACAGAUAGCAGUAGUGAAUGCCCUGAGAGCAUUAAACAAACCACGUCUCAGCGGGCAUGUCGAAUUGGCUGGAAUCUAGAAAAGAAUAAAGGAUUUGUAAGAGCAACUGUAUAAUUUCUCUAAUGCUCCUCCCUCUCCAUCCGUCUGUCCACUAGGUCAAGGAGAGAGCUCAGCUGGAAGCAGGAAAAUAAGAUCUUUGAUUAACCUGCUUUAUGAUUUUAGUCAUCAAUUGAAUACAUAUACUGAUAGUUGUGUUGAGAAAAAUACUCCAGCUUUUAAGAACGGUGAAAACACUUUAAAAAAUAAGUUAAGCGCUAAUAUCUGGAAUGUUGUCAUUGUUUUUCCUUGAGAUUUAAAAGACUGAUUUUCAGUUUUGUCCGUCACCCAAACCAGUGAUUGGUUAUCUAGAAUGAUAACCAGAAGUUAUCAUUUUAGCAUGUUUUUACUCAUGUCUGUUAUGUGACAGCGAUAAAUUGGACCACAGUGAACUGGUGAAUGACAACUCAAGGCACGUGUGUUUUUAGAAUACACUUGAUGUUCUCCACUAAUGACACAGUAAUAAAUUGGCUCCAACAAUUC